rnacentral:rRNA from 1 species
AGCAGCCGCGGUAAUUCCAGCUCCAAUAGCGUAUAUUAAAGUUGUUGCAGUUAAAAAGCUCGUAGUUGAAUUUCGGGAUCAAUUAAUUGGUCGUGCCUCUGGUACGUACUGAUUUUAUUGGUUUCUCCCUUCUGACGAACCAUGAUGUCAUUAAUUUGGUGUCGUGGAGAAUCAGGACUGUUACUUUGAAAAAAUUAGAGUGUUUAAAGCAAGCUAACGCUUGAAUACAUUAGCAUGGAAUAAUGAAAUAGGACGUUUGAUCCUAUUUUGUUGGUUUCUAGGAUCGACGUAAUGAUUAAUAGGGAUAGUUGGGGGCAUUAGUAUUCAAUUGUCAGAGGUGAAAUUCUUGGAUUUAUUGAAGACUAACUACUGCGAAAGCAUUUGCCAAGGAUGUUUUCAUUAAUCAAGAACGAAAGUUAGGGGAUCGAAGACGAUCAGAUACCGUCGUAGUCUUAACCAUAAACUAUAGCCGACUAGGGAUCGGAUGAUAUUAAUUUUUAAUGACUCAUUCGGCGCCUUA